GAUGAGGAAACUGAGACAUGAAGAAGUUAAGUCACUUUCCCAGGGUUACUACCUAGUAUGUGUCAAAGCUGGAAGACUGCCUCCCAGAAACGAAUCUGCCCACUCUGACAGCUCGAUUGAAGGUGAUUGAUGACUAUCUGGAGACCACAGUACACAUAAUAUAAUAUCUGCUGCGUAAUUGCUUUAAUUUACAGAUGAAAAUACUAGUUCUCCGAUCGAGUUAGACUAUAGUAAGCAAUGUCCUAGCCGCUUUCAAAGGAAAGCCAUCCGAAAUAAUGAAUAGCAGAUCCAUGCAAAUUAUUCAGACAGUUUAGCGUCUGUAGCCGGGAGAAAUAUAAAAAGAACACGAGUCAAAUGACAUUAAUAAUUGUUUUUGAAUUCUG